rnacentral:rRNA from 1 species
AGGCUGAAAUUCGCCUGCAUGAAGCCGGAAUUGCUAGUAAUGGCAGGUCAGCAUACUGCCGUGAAUACGUUCCCGGGCCUUGUACACACCGCCCGUCACACCAUGAGAGUUGGGGAUACCCAAAGCCCGUGAGCCAACUUUAAAAGAGGCAGCGGUCUAAGGUAGAAUCAAUGAUUGGGGUGAAGUCGUAACAAGGUAGC